GGGGUGAUGGGUGGGGCAAUGGGAUCAGGUGCUUCAAAGGGCAUCCCACCUAAUCCC
rnacentral:miRNA from 1 species